UUCAUUUCCUGAUUUGCAUAAUUCCUUUAGUGAAUCGGUUACUAAAACAAUGCAGACAGCACGUGCAAAUAAACGACGCUAUCAGUGGGCCACAAUUUAUUCUGAAUUCCUCCCUGCAGGAACUUUUUCAAAUGUUCACUCCGGUUUUGACAAUUACUGAGCAGUUUUGAAUAUUGAUUCUUGGAAUUUAAUUGACCUAUUUCAUUGUCAAUCUUGGAGGUCCUCAAACUGUUAUUUCCCUGUAGUCCAGUGUGUUAUUGAAAACAUAUCUCAAGAAAACACCCUGGAGAAAGGGCUACAGACAAAGCUUCACAUCACUGUAAAAGACAGAUGCAGUGCUCUAUAAUAGACAACUGGAUAAACAACACCUACUGUUUCAGUGGGUUUCUCUUCUCAUCAAAUCCAGUUAGUUUACUGUUUUUGUCAGCAAUUUAUUGGCAUAUAUAUGGAGAGUAUUAGGGCCGAUUCACACAGAAUGUUGUUGCGUUCCACACGAGUGCUGAUUUUAAUAGCCGUUCUCUGUAAACAUGCGCUUCUAUAUCAAUCGUUUGUGCCGCGACUACGUUUUUAAGACGUUGUGCUAAAUUAAAUAAAGUUAAACUUUUUAACUCAUCCCUCGGUGAUGCGUCUAGCGUUUUAAAAGCGACACGUUCUGUGAACACUUUUGGCAACCGCAAUAAAUCAAAAUGAUCAAAACAGAUUAAUUAAAAUCUCAAGGACAAAGACUCUCCUCUACAUUGCUCAAUACUGUGACUCUUACCAGGUGCCAUACGUUGGAAGCACUCUGUCUCCACAAAUAAGGUUUUUUUUUUUUUUUUUCUCGAGCUGUACAUUCAUCCAAAGCUAGAGAGCGCGCUGCAGCAUGCGUGCUGCGUGCUCUGUAUGUCACUUCCGACACAGAUGAGCACAGGUUACGUUUUUUUGCAGAACCCUGAUCGUGUGUUAAAGUACAACAUGAGAACAAGCGCUGUUCAUCCACUGGCCUCUCUGCGUCAUCCCAACUGAUGACCAUGUCAGUGUUCGCGGAGAGCAUGCAGGAUUAAAGAAAUUUGUAAAGCUACCAUCUGCUGUCGGAAAUGUCAGCGCUGUUCAGGAUCAAACAUGAGAAGCGCUCAGUCUUGCAUCCCUCUCAGCACCCACGGCAUCCUAAAGUGCUUCUUUUAGGUCUGCCAUAAAGGCCGCUUCAAGUAUAUUUUAGAAUUGCUGUAAAUAGUGCACCACUUGACAUCACAAAACAGACAACACAGCUGCUGCUGACCAGAGAAAGAAGCAGAACGGAGGAUUUAUGCAUGUUUGCUCUACAGUGUGGUCCACAUGUCUUUGCACCCUGGGAAGGGCACUGCUGUCACAAGA